CCGAGUUACAACUCCAUAACCCCUGUGAACAUACCUAACGUGUUGCCUCGGCGGAUACAGCCGGCUCCCCGUAAACGGGACGGCCCCCGCCAGAGGACCCCCUAAACUCUGUUUCUAUAAUGUAACUUCUGAGUAAACCAGUAAAUAAAUCA
rnacentral:misc_RNA from 1 species